CGGCGUAGCUCAAUUGGUAGAGCAACUGAUUUGUAAUCAGUAGGUUGCGGGUUCGAGUCCCAUCGCCG
rnacentral:tRNA from 1 species